UGAGCAAUCUGCCCUUCACAUCGGAAUAACCAUUGGAAACGAUGGCUAAUACCGAAUAUGACUUCGGAUCGCAUGAUCUGAAGUGGAAAGCUCCGGCGGUGAAGGAUGAGCUCGCGGCCUAUCAGCUUGUUGGUGAGGUAAUGGCUCACCAAGGCGAUGACGGGUAGCCGGCCUGAGAGGGUGACCGGCCACACUGGGACUGAGACACGGCAGA
rnacentral:rRNA from 1 species